rnacentral:rRNA from 1 species
GUAACUUCGGGAGAAGGGGGACCUCUGCUGGUGAUGGGCUUUACGUUCUGAGCUGGUGGGGGUCGCAGUGGCCAGGGGGAAGCGACUGUUUACUAAAAACACAGGUCCGUGCGAAGUCGUAAGACGAUGUAUACGGACUGACGCCUGCCCGGUGCCGGAACGUUAAGGGGACCGCUUAGCCAGCUUCGGUUGGCGAAGGUGAGAACUUAAGCGCCGGUAAACGGCGGUGGUAACUAUAACCAUCCUAAGGUAGCGAAAUUCCUUGUCGGGUAAGUUCCGACCUGCACGAAUUGCGUAACGACUUCCCCGCUGUCUCAACCACAGACCCGGCGAAAUUGCACUACGAGUAAAGAUGCUCGUUUCGCGCAGCAGGACGGAAAGACCCCGGGACCUUCACUACAGCUUGACAUUGGCGUUUGGAACGUCUUGUGUAGGAUAGGUGGGAGACUAGGAAGCUGUCACGCUAGUGAUGGUGGAGUCAUUGGUGAAAUACCACUCUGGUCGUUUUGAACGUCUAACUCUGGUCCGUGAUCCGGAUCGGGGACAGUGUCUGGUGGGUAGUUUAACUGGGGCGGUUGCCUCCUAAAGAGUAACGGAGGCGCCCAAAGGUUCCCUCAGCCUGGUUGGCAAUCAGGUGUUGAGUGUAAGUGCACAAGGGAGCUUGACUGUGAGACUGACAGGUCGAGCAGGAGCGAAAGCUGGGACUAGUGAUCCGGCAUCGGCGUGUGGAAGCGGUGUCGCUCAACGGCUAAAAGGUACCCCGGGGAUAACAGGCUGAUCUUCCCCAAGAGUCCAUAUCGACGGGAUGGUUUGGCACCUCGAUGUCGGCUCGUCGCAUCCUGGGGCUGGAGUAGGUCCCAAGGGUUGGGCUGUUCGCCCAUUAAAGCGGUACGCGAGCUGGGUUUAGAACGUCGCGAGACAGUUCGGUCCCUAUCCGCUGCGCGCGCAGGAGACUUGAAGGGGGCUGUCCCUAGUACGAGAGGACCGGGACGGACGAACCUCUGGUGUGCCAGUUGUACCGCCAGGUGCACGGCUGGUUGGCUACGUUCGGAAGGGAUAACCGCUGAAAGCAUCUAAGCGGGAAGCUCGCCUUGAGAUGAGGUCUCCCACCCCGUGAGGGGGUAAGGCUCCCGGUAGAUCACCGGGUUGAUAGGCCGGAGGUGGAAGCACGGUAACGUGUGGAGCUGACCGGUACUAAUAGGCCGAGGACUUGACCAC